rnacentral:rRNA from 1 species
ACAGAGUUCAUGCCCUUCGGGGUAGACCUCCCACCCUUUGUAUACCGUGCCUUUGUUGCUUUGGCGGGCCGCCUUCUGGCCACCGGCCCCGGCUGGUGCGCGCCCGCCAGAGAACCCCAAACCCUGUCUUACAGUGUCGUCCGAGUACUAUAUAAUAGUUAAAACUUUCAACAACGGAUCUCUUGGUUCUGGCAUCGAUGAAGAACGCAGCGAAAUGCGAUAAUUAAUGUGAAUUGCAGAUUUUAGUGAAUCAUCGAAUCUUUGAACGCACAUUGCGCCCCUUGGUAUUCCGGGGGGCAUGCCUGUUCGAGCGUCAUUUCAACCCUCAAGCUCUGCUUGGUCUUGGGCCGCGCCGGCAACGGCGGGCCUCAAAAACAGUGGCGGCGCCAUCGUGUCCCUCAGCGUAGUAAUUCUUCUCGCUGUUGGGCCCCGGUGGCCGCUGGCCAGCAACCCCCAAUUUUUCUAUGGUUGACCUCGGAUCAGGUAGGGAUACCCGCUGAACUUAA